UACGGGGGGAGCAAGCGUUGUUCGGAUUUACUGGGCGUAAAGGGCGCGUAGGCGGUCAGCACAAGUCAGUUGUGAAAUCUCCGGGCUUAACCCGGAAAGGUCAACUGAUACUGUGCGACUAGAGUGCGGAAGGGGGCAACUGGGAAUUCUCGGUGUAGCGGUGAAAUGCGUAGAGAUCGGGAGGAACACCAGCGGCGAAGGCGGC
rnacentral:rRNA from 1 species